rnacentral:rRNA from 1 species
GCUUACGGCUAUACCACCCGGUCUGCGCCUGAUCUCAUCUGAUCUUAGAAGCUAAGCAGGGUCGGGCCUGGUUAGUACUUGGAUGGGAGACCACCUGGGAAUACCGGGUGCUGUAAGCU